UUUUAUGGUGUAAGUAAAACAGCUUCUAAAUUUGUGAAUCACAAAACUUGGGACGUGAAACAAUUAAAGAUGUUUUCGUGACAUAUUUAUUCGGAAGAAUAGCCAAUGAAAACAUGUGGAAAAUGUAAGCCCCAUUCAAAUACAGAAUUGUAGCCUGGACUUUAGUUUCAAGUGCAAAUAGGAUUGAAAGGGUUAUCGGACACAUAUUGUUAUCUGCAAUAUGAUUGCAACUUGAGGAAAUUACCCGGCAUUGAGCGGCGCAAAUUAAAGGUCGAAUCGUAGCCGCGCACUUUCGACCCAACAGAAAAACUUCUUUAAAACUCAGGAAAGUUUAGCUUGCCAGACAUUGUCGUGUUUCACAUAAUGUAUCCAAAAAUACUUGUAUGAUGAGGAAAAUGAUGUCGGGAAAAUCAAAAAGCAACGACCAACAAUACGAUAUAUGUUUAUAUGCAUGGUAAAUUAUGUGCCGCACCCAAAAUCAAUCUAUAGAAACGUUUGUCUGUUUGUAACAGGCACAACAAGAUGCGCAUAAAAAGACUCGUCGUAAAUAAAUGACAACUUUCGAAUAAGUGAAAA